ensembl:lncRNA
CAGGGGUCAGCCUCUAGGAUGGAUGCCGGGGAGUGCCUGCCAAGAGAAGAGAGGAGUGUCCCAGAGCAACGGACAUCAAAGUUGGCAUCCGCUGGGCGGGGCAGGGCCUGCAGAUUGGCUCAACCUGGAUGCAGGCUGCACUCAGGGCAGGAAAUAAGGGGCAGCCCUGAUCCACGCGCAAUGACCAUGUGGCUGGGAGGCAGGGGACAGGCUGGAGGAGAUGUGGCUGGGAUCCACGCUCACGAUGGACCUGCCGGGUCUCCCACAUCCCAGCAGCCGCUCACAGGCUGUGGUGUUAGAGG